GGGUACGUUCAUAGGACCUUUCAAACUUUAUCUGUUUCUAAACUAUUCUCACUUUGGAGCCACGAUUUACCUUCUUCUCAACUGCUCAGGAUCCAACAUAAAUAAACCCUCUCCAUUAACAAUUUAUUGAUGAUCUAUAAUUUGUUUUAUCUCUUCCACACUUCUCACUUAUCUAAUGAAACAAUUAUUUUAUUCUUUUCUGUAUAAGUAUGAAUCAUCUUCAUCUAUUCAACGCUCAAACAUCUUGCUAAUAACUGGAUUAUGGUUGCAGAGUUUGAAAGGUGUCGGAGGUAAGUACAGUGUAGUCAUGUUGGAGAGAUUCAAAUGGCCUUGACUCUUAGAGACAUGGUUUUCAGAAAUUUGGGAAUUUUUUUGAUCUUCCCAUGACGAGCCUCUUUCUCGAGUGGAAGCCACUUGACUUGAAUUGAAAACUCUAUUACUCAUUAAUAAAUAAAAGAAGAGUGAGAAAGAAGAGACUGGAGAAGCAAGCUACAGAAGAGGAAUAAGCAAGAAAAAUCUGAAACAUGUGUCACUCAUAUGUUCAUUAAAAGGUCACAGCUAAACCUUUUGUCCAUUUAGACUACAGAUACAAAUAUUUUUAUUUUGUUGUCAAUUAUUUGUUGCACAAAAUAAAUGCUGUCAACUAUUUUUUUCUAUUUUUGUUGAGUGUUUUGUGAAUUUAUUUUAAUUAUGAAAUUGCAUAUUGUUAAAUACUA